AAUCCGAAAGGGCAAAACCGCCGAAAGGCGGUGGCGCAAAGCCAAGGGUCUAAAGCCUUUAAAGGCCAUGACAGCCAGGCUGCCGAA
rfam:Thermovirga lienii DSM 17291, complete genome.